ensembl:snRNA U6 U6 spliceosomal RNA
GUGCUCGCUUUGGCAGUACAUAUACUAAAGUUGGAAUGAUACAGAGAAGACUAGGAUGGCCCCUGCAAAGGAUGACACGUAAAUUCGUGAAGCGUUCCAUAUUUAA